UGGGGAAUAUUGCACAAUGGGCGCAAGCCUGAUGCAGCAACGCCGCGUGAACGAUGAAGGUCUUCGGAUCGUAAAGUUCUGUUGCAGGGGAAGAUAAUGACGGUACCCUGUGAGGAAGCCCCGGCUAACUACGUGCCAGCAGCCGCGGUAAUACGUAGGUCCCGAGCGUUGUCCGGAUUUAUUGGGCGUAAAGCGAGCGCAGGCGGUUAGAAAAGUCUGAAGUGAAAGGCAGUGGCUCAACCAUUGUAGGCUUUGGAAACUGUUUAACUUGAGUGCAGGAGAGAAAAGUGGAAUUCCUAGUGUAGCGGUGAAAUGCGUAGAGAUUAGGAGGAACACCGGUGGCGAAAGCGGCUUUUUGGCCUGCAACUGACACUGAGGCGCGAAAGCGUGGGGAGCAAACAGG
rnacentral:rRNA from 1 species